UUGACCUCGGAUCAGGUAGGGAUACCCGCUGAACUUAAGCAUAUCAAAGGCG
rnacentral:rRNA from 1 species